rnacentral:rRNA from 1 species
AGGACGAACGCUGGCGGCGUGCUUAACACAUGCAAGUCAAGGGGGCCCAGCAAUGGGCAACCGGCGAACGGGUGCGUAACACGUGAGCAACCUACCGAACUGUGGGGGAUAGCCGGCCUAACGGCCGAGUAAUACCGCAUACGCUCUCAGUCGAGGCAUUUCAUUGAGAGGAAACCUACGGGACAGAUCGGAGGGGCUCGCGGCCUAUCAGCUAGUUGGCGAGGUAACGCUCACCAAGGCAACGACGGGUA